UUGAAAGGGAAACGAUUGAAGUCAGUCGUACCUGUGGGUAAUCAGCCUUUUGGGUGUGAUUUUGUGGAGUGUGAGGAGUUAAACGCCUUCAUGCCUGCAUAUUCGUGCACUUUGGGUGUAUUUACCCGUGUGGUAAGUUAACAUCAAUUUCGGUGGUCAUAAAAUGGCUGGAGGAACGUAGCUUUGAUCUCGUAUUGAAGUGUUAUAGCCUUCGGUAGAUGUGAUAAUCGGGAUUGAGGAUUGCAGCGGAUACCCUUCGGGGCUACCUGUCUGAUCUCUGAUCGUUGCUCUGGUGCCGAAAGCUUGCUUACGGUUAUCAAAGUCGAUGGUCAAUAGGUUAGAAUGGGUUAAAUUCGUUAAGGAUGUUGACGUA
rnacentral:rRNA from 1 species